rnacentral:rRNA from 1 species
GACGAACGCUGGCGGCGUGCCUAAUACAUGCAAGUCGAGCGGAUGACGGAGGAGCUUGCUCCUCCUGAUUCAGCGGCGGACGGGUGAGUAACGCGUAGACAACCUACCCUUUAGAUGAGGACAACAGAGCGAAAGAUCUGCUAAUACCGAAUGUUGCUUGAGAAGCGCAUGCUUCUCAAACUAAAGAUGGCCUCUAUAUAUAAGCUAUAGUUUAGAGAUGGGUCUGCGUCUGAUUAGCUAGUUGGUGAGGUAAAGGCUCACCAAGGCGACGAUCAGUAGCCGGUCUGAGAGGAUGAACGGCCACACUGGGACUGAGACACGGCCCAGACUCCUACGGGAGGCAGCAGUGGGGAAUCUUCCGCAAUGGACGAAAGUCUGACGGAGCAACGCCGCGUGAGUGAAGAAGGCCUUCGGGUCGUAAAGCUCUGUCGUUUGGGACGAACGUGCUUUGUGUGAAUAAUGCAAAGUAAUGACGGUACCAAAGGAGGAAGCCACGGCUAACUACGUGCCAGCCGCCGCAGUAA